rnacentral:rRNA from 1 species
AUUGAACGCUGGCGGCAUGCCAUACACAUGCAAGUCGAACGGUAACGGGCCUUCGGGUGCCGACGAGUGGCGAACGGGUGAGUAAUGCAUCGGAACGUACCUUUCAGUGGGGGAUAACGUAGCGAAAGUUACGCUAAUACCGCAUAUUCUGUGAGCAGGAAAGCAGGGGAUCGCAAGACCUUGCGCUGAUUGAGCGGCCGAUGUCAGAUUAGCUAGUUGGUGAGGUAAAGGCUCACCAAGGCGACGAUCUGUAGCGGGUCUGAGAGGAUGAUCCGCCACACUGGAACUGAGACACGGUCCAGACUCCUACGGGAGUCAGCAGUGGGGAAUUUUGGACAAUGGGGGCAACCCUGAUCCAGCCAUGCCGCGUGAGUGAAGAAGGCCUUCGGGUUGUAAAGCUCUUUCGGCCGGGAAGAAAUCGUAUGGGCUAAUACCCUGUGCGGAUGACGGUACCGGCAUAAGAAGCACCGGCUAACUACGUGCCAGCCGCCGCGGUAAAAC